ACCGGCCUGUCACGCCGGGGGUCGCGGGUUCGAGUCCCGUCCACUCCG
rnacentral:tRNA from 2 species